rnacentral:rRNA from 1 species
AUACGUAGGGGGCGAGCGUUGUCCGGAAUGAUUGGGCGUAAAGGGCGCGUAGGCGGCCCGGUAAGUCUGGAGUGAAAGUCCUGUUUUUAAGAUGGGAAUUGCUUUGGAUACUGUCGGGCUUGAGUGCAGGAGAGGUAAGUGGAAUUCCCAGUGUAGCGGUGAAAUGCGUAGAGAUUGGGAGGAACACCAGUGGCGAAGGCGACUUACUGGACUGUAACUGACGCUGAGGCGCGAAAGUGUGGGGAGCAAACAGGAUUAGAUACCCUGGUAAUCCACACUGUAAACGAUGAAUGCUAGGUUUAGGGGGUAUCGACCCCUUCUGUGCCGCAGUCAACACAAUAAGCAUUCCGCCUGGGGAGUACGGCCGCAAGGUUGAAACUCAAAGGAAUUGACGGGU